rnacentral:lncRNA from 1 species
CCACUCUCCUUCCAAGAGUGAUCUCAACACCACACCUCCAUUGCCACCUUCUUUCAUCACUUCUGGCUCUGAACUCAUCCCUUCCACAGUUAUUGUUAGCUCCUUCACACUUCAUCCUGUUCAUCCCUCUGAUCUCCAGCUCUCUGAUCAUUGGCUUUUAUUGUACCCAUAUCUUAUAUCACCCCAACUUGGAACAGAAGGGUGGUGUGAGUAAGAGCACAGACUUUGGAGGCAGACAGAUCUGGGUUGGAAUUCUGCUUCUUCUGCUUAAAAUGGGAACAGUGUUUCAUGAAAUUCAAAUGACCUCGUAGGAUGGUUGUAAGUGUUCAUUAAGAAUUUAAGAUAAAUACUUCCCACAAUGUCUGGCCCAGAGACUGGUCCAGUGCUCCAUCCAUCAGGCUCUAAAUGUCUGUUGACUCGCUAAAUACUUUCAGAGGACUGUUUAGGCCACCACUGAGGAGGUGGGAAAAUGGCUUUACUGGAGCUGCACAUGAGCAAGGAGGCUUGGUUCUACAGGCUGGAAUGAAGUAAAGUGGGAGGAUGAAGGAUGUUUGAAAAGCCCGGGGCGGAAGGUGCUAGGGAAAAGAGAAAUGCAGAAGGGAAUUUUGUGUUCCAUCUUCC